CAAAAAAGGGGUAAAGGAAAUUGAAGCGCCAUAACCCUAUACAUACCACUAUCCCCAACACACAUUACCACUACUUUGGCCAAACAGAUCCCACACCAGGCCUGGGAGGCUGUACCCCCUUCUCUCAAAACCCCCUGUAGUUCUUCAGCACAAAAAUCUCAUACCCAAGAGUUCUGCUGCCAAUUCAAUCUUCUGGGAUUUCGUUCCCCUCAUUGUGGUACAAUUAAUGACCAUAACAGUAAACAGCAACAAGCCAACUACUACCCACAGGGCUCCAAUCAACAAGGCCUACUACUCACAGGGCUCAAAUCUCUCACUAUCACAGGACAUUUAUGAUCCCCCAACAACAUGACCACCCCCACAAUUGAAACACACACACGUUUUCCCUUUAAACUACACUUGUCCCAUGCCCUCCUGCACACUUGUAUCUCCCUUCUACAUACUGCUGCAACAUGACCAUAAACUUGGCACCUGAAACACCUUAGUGGAUUUGGAGCAAAAGCUCUCACAGGAUAAUUUACACCCUAGCAUGACUUUAUCCGGCUACACUCUGCAUCAAAACUCCAAAAGGACAGACCGAGUCUCCUCAGUCUCACGCUUUCCACCGGGUCUGCAUUGCAUCAAGCAUUGACUUCACCAGGCCCGGGCUUUAGCCCCGAAUGAUUUUGUCUCUGUCCCGAGUCUUUUGCCCUGCUGGGAUAUUGUAAAAUAAGAGAGCGCAAAGAUGAGGAGAACCAGAGAGGAAAUCCAAGACAGCAGAACAUCAGACAGCAAGGAAGAGAGGGGAGAAGACAAGACAGAGCGAGAACAUCGAGAGAGAGCAGGCCCACACAAGACAAACAUGGCAUAUUCAUCUCAAGCCAGAGGAAAUAGUCCUUGCUAAACAUAAAGAUGCCACUUCUGACAUGUCCUGCAUGUAUAAAUUGUUAGACACUGAUAUUUUCCCAUCACUGAAGGCAAUCAUACAGACUGUGCUGACCAUCCCAGUUAGCAGCUGUGAGAGAUCUUUCAGUGCAUUAAGACAUCUACAUACCUGGCUUAGGAGACCAAGAUAGAAUGCCUCAUGACAAUUGACAAGGAUAUUCAUACUAACACGCUUGGGAAAGAGUGAAGUCAUAGACAGGUUUGCACCUAAAGUUUAAUUGUUUCAUUUCAAAUUUCUAUGGAUGGACUAAUACUAGUACUGUGUAAUAUAACUCGCAAACAUUGUGAAUAUUUAGUUGGAGAAUGGAUUGUAUGCUGGUACAUGUGUGUAAAAUUGUGAAGUGUUGUUACUACAGGGGUGUUGGAGGGGGUGUAUUUGUUUUUGUGUAAUUAC